rnacentral:tmRNA from 1 species
GGGGCCGUUCAGGUUUUGACGGAGGAGAGUUUGGCUUGGAUUGCAGCAAGGUGGCGACUUACGCCAAAAAACAAUAACUGACAACACUGUCAAACCUUGGAUGCUUGGUGGACACCAGGCCUCCUUCGCUCGCGCUUAAUUUAGCCCCGACACAGGGAUCCCGCUAGGCGGGACGAGCACAUUCACCUCUACCUUCGCGUCUUAGUAGGGGAUGGGUGUAAUACAAGACGAUAAGCCUUAGCGUUGGUUGGCGCGAAAGGACGAAAACCCCACAACUGCCUCAUGGGCAUUCCUCGAUCCUAUCGCCGCCCAUGAGUAUGAGAUAGGGUCUAAGCUGUAGACGUCCUUGAUGAGCCUUCUUCGGACCGGGGUUCGAUUCCCCGCGACUCCACCA